ACAUGGGCAAAUAAGGCAAAUAUGUCCUCAAAGAGCUUCCAUCUAAUUGAGCAAAUAAUUACAAGCAUGAUAACUCUUAGGUGAGAUAAGGACAGAAUGUCAUAUCUAUCUGGGAAAUGAAGGAUGACUAAUAAUGGAUUAGCUGCGAUGUAGAUACUAAGAGGAAAUAAUACACAAAAAAGAAUUUGGAAAAGGAAAGUAGGUGAUAUACCUUGAGGAACUGAAAGAACCCCAGUGUGACUAUAGCACUGAGAACAGGGGUGAAGCAGAGUGCCUGGUUGGGAUGAAGAAGAGGUUGGCAUAGGUCAGACUUCACAGACCAUUUAAAACUCAACAUCUUGGUUCAAACACGAAACUGAAAGAAUGCUUGAAGUGUUUUAUAAGAGAGAAAUGAAAUGAUCAGAUUUGACUCUCAAAAGACAACUCCAGCUUCUGUUUAGAGAAUAAAUUGAAGAAAGAAAAGGGUGCAGAUCUAGUGGUCCUUUAGCAGGUUAAUGCAAUCCAGAAGAGGGAUGAUGAUGUGGACCCCAGGAGGCAGCAGCCAUGAUGGAUGGAGACGGGUGAUCUUAAUAUCAAUAAUCAUAGUGGCAAAGCUUUUUGCUAUUCUUAAUCCCUUACACAGCUGCUGAAAAUCUUUCUUCUUGUCCCUUCUCCCUUGCUCAGUGAGGAUAAAGGAUUGCUGAUCACCGUUCAUUCUGGAAGCACAAUUCUGCUGCUGUACCUCCUGGGAAGCAUGUCCUGAGGCCCACCUUACAAGUGAUGCCCCUGCCUCUGUCCUGGCCACCCCAUCAUGGCUCCAUUGAUAUCUGUGUUCCCUCAGUCCAGAACUUUCACCCAAACUCAUAAGAGAAGUGAAUAGAUGGCUGGUUGAAGCACAUGGAAGUCCAUAUACAUCCAAGAAGAGGCUUCUACAAAUUUCACAUGGAUUCUCAGAACCAAAACUACAUUGCCAGAAAAGAUCCACCUUCAUUCUGUCAUGCACAACAGUGUUUACUUGUUCCUUACAAGAAAACAAGGAAUAGGUCUAUGGUAUGAGCUGAAAUGAUGACCCAUGAAAAGAUGUAUUCACCCAGAACCUGAGAACAUGACAGAUUUUUUACUUGGAAAAGGGAUCUUUGCAGAUAAAAUUAAGUCUUUGGAUGAAAUCAUCUUGGAUUAACUGGGUGUACCCUAAAUGCAAUGACAUGUCUCCUUAUAAGAAAGAAGGGGACAGUACACAGAGGAACCCUAUGAAGAUGGAAGCUACAUCAGAGUGAUGUAGCUAUAAGCCAAGAAUGUCAAGGAUCACCAGCAGCCACCAGAAUCUAGGAGACAGGUGGGGAAUGGAUUCUUCAUUGGAACCUUCAGAAGGAACUGACACCUUGAUUUUGAACUUCUAGCCCUAGGACUGUGAUGGAAAAAAUUCUUGUUUUCAGCCACCUGGUUUGUGGCAGUGUGUUCUAGCAACUCUAGGAGAUCACAGCCUGUUAGGUGUACACUCUCAGGAACAACAUGUGGAUGGAUGAACUGCCAGACUGCCUGCAGCCCAGGUACCUUAGCUACCAGGGAGCAAGCCUAUCAGCCAGCAUUCUAAUCUGCAUUGAAACAUGGGGGAUUUCCAUAGUCUCCCAGGGCCAGUGACCCCACACAGAAGCUUCUGCCUUUGGCACAUCAGCUAGCAUCGCUGCUCAAAAAUAUCCCAUUAAACCAGGCUUAAGCACAUCUCAGGGCUCCUGGGAAAUAUGUUCAAAUGACAAAGCUGUUCUCCUUUUUGGCAAAGGUCUUUUAUCAAGUGAUACAGAGUAUAUUUUCAAUCAUUCCCAUAUCACAAUGAAGAGACAAACCCUGUUAGCGUGUGUUCACUGUGAAAGAAAAAAAGAAAACAAAACAAACGUAAAAUACCGCAGCUUGGUACACCCAGGGACUAGCUGGGCUUUGAGCCUCCAUGAAUCUUAGCAGUAGCCAGUGAAGUGUAAUUCGAUCUUUUUAACUUCAUGAUAUAUAUUCAUGUCAGUGGCUUUAAGAUAAGGAAAAGACUUUACUGAAAAAUGAAAUAUCUGAUGAAUGACUUGGAGGACGUUGAAUAAUACACAAAUAUUUCUUUCCUCUCAAUCAGAGAGAUUCCAGAUCCUGCUGAGUGAGCUUCCAUCCCUGUCGCUGCCAUUCUUUUAUAGGGAAAACAAUUUGGGAAGAGGAAAGACAAGAAAUCGGGGCACUUGGGGUAGGGGGGAAGGUGCAGGGACCAGGAAAAAGAAGGAGAAGAAAAACUCAGCAUGUAGUAAUUGAAAGAUCCUAAAAGAUGUAGGAAAAUUGGCACAUUGUUGAUAAUAACCAUAAUAACAAAGUUAAUGAUAGGCUCUCAGAAGGACCUCCUUGGUCUCAGAUUUGUUAUAAAGAAAAAGAGCCGUUCAGCUGGCAAGCGUGGCUGAGUUUAGCAAUGCAGCAUCCGUCCGCCAGCAGCCACCUCAGGGGCUGGCUCCUUGUCUCCUGCAUCAUCCCAGCCCCCUGUCUCUCCUGCAAAAUUAUUGGUAUGGAGCCUCUUUGCGACUUGACAAAAGAACAGGUGUAAUCACUCAUGGGAUGGUGUGGAUGGUUUAGGGGUUGCCUUUUCUAAAUUUAUUUCAUUGUUUCCUACGGAAGGGAGGAGAGGCAGCACUGGGUUUGUCAGAUGGGUUAAAGUAGGGCACAGGUGGCCCGAGGGGUGCAAGGAGCAUGCUUUAGGGGGUCGGAGCCUUCCCCUGCUUCCAUCCUCCUGGUAAGGAGUCUGUGCUCUGCUACACAGGUAUCCCAGGGAGGCGCAGAGGAAGUGCGGAGGGUGGGCAGAAGAAAUGCUGAAAUGCUCCCUUAUGAUGAACCUGUGAUGCUCUGGAUGUUUUCUAUUUCACUUUCUUCAUAAGAACAAAAGAGGAAAUGAGGCUUAGGGAGUUUAGAGAACUAAGACCACAUAGCUAAUAAAUACAGAAUCCUGACAUUGAACCUGGAUCCAUAGCUCAUCAAAGGCAAGAUCCUUGUGACAACACCAUGAGCCUGUCCCCACAGGUGGAGGUGGUGCCCUAGAUCAGCCAGGGAUGGGAUGUGAACCCUUAAUUCUGAGAGCUGAGUGGGAGAGACUCCAUUCAAAGAAAGGAAGUUUGCACAAUACAUCGAUAAACACUCAUAAAAAGCGUAUACUGUACGUGGAAAACUGUUUGGAGAACAGCCUCUUUUCCAGAGCUGGCGGGGCCAGUUUGAGCCUACUCGCCUUGCAUUCCAUGUCUUCCACAGGUGCUCUCACCCAGGCCCAUGGCUUCCAGAAUUCCAGUUUAGAACCUUGAGCUACCCACCCUGUAUCAAAGCAUCAGGUGGGUGCUAAAGAUCAGGCAAGACACUGGGUUUUUAGGUUCGCUUCUGUUUAAAAUGUUUUUCAGCAGCAGGCAUCGCCUCCCUCAAGCUAAGUUCUUCAUCCCACAGUUCAUGCACAAUUUCUUGCCAUGUUUGAUAACCACUCAGAACCUUAAUUGGUGUCGUUUUGUUCCAACAUUUGUUAACAACAGCAAAUUACUUAUGGAUGAGGCAUCGCCAGUAAAAUUGCUAAGCAGAGAAGUUUCUCUACUUUUGUGAAAGAAAUAAAAGAGUAGCAGAGGGCAACAUAAGAGCCAUUUCCUUUGCCAAGAAUCUUGAGUAAUGAUUUCCUGUAUCUUUAAUACUCAUUGCGAAGGAACUAAGUAAUUACAGUUUCGUUUUCCAUUUAUAAAGACCAAUAAACCAUUCUCCAGCAGAUAUUAUGCGACCAUAAGUCUCUUUAGAAGUUAUUGUCCAUCUUUGACCUAUGAACGUCCCUAUUUUAACUAUGUUUCAUAAUUAGUAUUGCAGAACAGCCUUAUCACAUUUUUUAAAACUUUAUUUAAAAGGACUUGAAUAAAAUACCUGGAAGCCUGCUAAAUCUGGAAAU